GACGAACGCUGGCGGCGUGCCUAAUACAUGCAAGUAGAACGCUGAAGAGAGGAGCUUGCUCUUCUUGGCUGAGUUGCGAACGGGUGAGUAACGCGUAGGUAACCUGCCUUGUAGCGGGGGAUAACUAUUGGAAACGAUAGCUAAUACCGCAUAACAAUGGAUGACACAUGUCAUUUAUUUGAAAGGGGCAAUUGCUCCACUACAAGAUGGACCUGCGUUGUAUUAGCUAGUAGGUGAGGUAACGGCUCACCUAGGCGACGAUACAUAGCCGACCUGAGAGGGUGAUCGGCCACACUGGGACUGAGACACGGCCCAGACUCCUACGGGAGGCAGCAGUAGGGAAUCUUCGGCAAUGGGGGCAACCCUGACCGAGCAACGCCGCGUGAGUGAAGAAGGUUUUCGGAUCGUAAAGCUCUGUUGUAAGUCAAGAACGAGUGUGAGAGUGGAAGGUUCACACUGUGACGGUAGCUUACCAGAAAGGGACGGCUAACUACGUG
rnacentral:rRNA from 1 species